GACAAACGCUGGCGGCGUGCGUAACACAUGCAAGUUGAACGCGAAUAUAUGAGAAGUGGUAACACGGAUUGUAUGUUUGAGUAGCGGACGGGUGAGUACAACAUGAGAACCUAUCCUUCAAAGGGGGACAACGUUUGGAAACGGACGCUAAUACCCCAUAAGCCGAGAGGUUAAAGCAGCGAUGCGAUGGAGGAGGGGCUCGUGUCCUAUCAGCUGGUUGGUGGGGUAAUGGCCUACCAAGGCGACGACGGGUAGCCGGCCUGAGAGGGUGUACGGCCACACUGGAACUGAGAUACGGUCCAGACUCCUACGGGAGGCAGCAGUGGGGAAUAUUGGGCAAUGGGAGAAAUCCUGACCCAGCGACGCCGCGUGAACGAAGACGGCCUUCGGGUUGUAAAGUUCUUUUAUGUGGGAAGAAAACAAUGACGGUACCACAUGAAUAAGCCCCGGCUAACUACGUGCCAGCCGCCGCAGUAA
rnacentral:rRNA from 1 species